UUGGUUAUAUUAAAUGUCAAAAUUGUUUUGUACUAUUUUUGAGAAUGAAAUACACUAAAUAUCAAAUUCUCAGGUUUCCUGUAAUUUUUGGUAGUUUAUUGGGUGUAUUAAUAGUCGGUUUUUAUAACAGAGGAGCUUGGAUGGGCGAUAUUGAUUCUGCAAAAUCAGAAUUGUUUAAAGAAAAUGAAGAAACUAGUAAUAUGUUGGAAGAUUUAAAAAAAGCACAUAAAAAGAAAAUUGAACUUUCAAAAUAAAAUAUUUGAAGACUUUUUUCGUCGUGGGAAAGUUUGCAGAACAUGUGAUAUAUGGUUCUCCUACACUUUUUUUAUAGAUAUUUGAGAUAUUUUGUAAAACAAUGAAUAAGCAAUAAAA